AACGAACGCUGGCGGCAGGCUUAACACAUGCAAGUCGAACGCAUCCUUCGGGGUGAGUGGCAGACGGGUGAGUAACGCGUGGGAACGUGCCCUUCAGUUCGGGAUAACCCAGGGAAACUUGGGCUAAUACCGGAUACGUGCGAGAGCAGAAAGAUUGAUCGCUGAAGGAUCGGCCCGCGUCUGAUUAGCUAGUUGGUGGGGUAAUGGCCCACCAAGGCGACGAUCAGUAGCUGGUCUGAGAGGAUGAUCAGCCACAUUGGGACUGGGACACGGGCCAAACUCCUACGGGAGGCAGCAGUGGGGAAUAUUGGACAAUGGGCGCAAGCCUGAUCCAGCCAUGCCGCGUGAGUGAUGAAGGCCUUAGGGUUGUAAAGCUCUUUCGUCCGGGACGAUAAUGACGGUACCGGAAGAAGAAGCCCCGGCUAACUCUGUGCCAGCCGCCGCAGUAA
rnacentral:rRNA from 1 species